rnacentral:rRNA from 1 species
AUUGAACGCUGGCGGCAGGCCUAACACAUGCAAGUCGAACGAGUGGCGGACGGGUGAGUAAUGCUUGGGAAACUGCCUUAUGGAGGGGGAUAACUACGGGAAACUGUAGCUAAUACCGCAUACAAUAGGAUGAGCCCACUGUGGAUUAGAUGUGUGGUGAGGGAAAGGCUCACACACGCGACGAUCCCUAGCUGGUCUGCGAGGAUGACCAGUCACACUGGCACUGAGACACGGGCCAGACUCCUACGGGAGGCAGCAGUGGGGAAUAUGGCGCAAUGGGGGAAACCCGGACGCAGACAUGCCGAGUGAGUGAAGAAGGCUUUCGGGUUGUAAAGUUCUUUCGUUAGCGAGGCGUUAACUACAGAAGAAGCACCGGCUAACUCCGUGCCAGCAGCCGCGGUAAUAC